GUGCUUGCUUCAGCAGCACACGUACUAAAAUCGGACUGAUACAGAGAAGAUAAGCAUGGCCCCUGAGCAAGGAUGACAUGCAAAUUCGUGAAGCAUUACAUAUUUUU
rnacentral:snRNA from 1 species